GUUUAUAAAGUAUUUUUACAUACAAAUUAUAAUUCAAAAUGUGUUUUUUUUCCUGUCAGAAAAGCGCAUUGAUACAUUUGUGAGAGAAAAACUGGUCGAGUGCAGUCUUAUUGAGGCGUCUAACGGUUGGAACAAACAUGAAAUUCCUUAACUGAGCAGAGUCCACAAAACCCCAUCCAGUUGUCGUGGCGAUUUAAAAAUGCCAGCAGAUCUCUCAGGCAUUGAUCAUAAUCAAUGGACAGGUCACCGUAGCCACCCGUAUCCAGUACGUAUCCAGACCAGAUGGAGAUCAUCAUCUAGAAAGGACCUCUACAUCCCUGAAAGACAGCGGAGACCAGGACAACUAGAGCCCAGAUACAGAUCCCCUGUAAAGACCUUGUCUCAGAGGAGCACCAGGACAAGACCACAGGAAACAGAUGAUUCUUCUGCACAAUCUGACUUUGCUGCAGCCUGGAAUUGAACUACUGGUUUCGUCUGGUCAGAGGAGAACUGACCCCCCAACUGAGCCUGGUUUCUCCCAAGGUUUUUUUCUCCAUUCUGUCAACGAUGGAGUUUUUGUUCCUUGUUUUUCUUUAGUUGGGGACAAUUAAUAUCAAGCGAUAUCAUCCACUUGAUUGCACAGAGGGACGAUACAUCACUGAAUCAAUGACGAAUUGACUUUAACUGAAAACUGAGUGUUUACUUUUGUCCCUUUGCAUUAUUACACACUAUUUUCCUAUUCAAUACUGUAAAGCUGCUAUGAUGCAGUAUUUGAUCGAUAUGACAGGCUUAUUACUCAUAAUACAUGGAAAAUACAGCUACAAACUGACUUUGUUUUUCCAUUUGAAAUUUGGCAGUCACUAAACUGAAACCGUAAUUUUUGUUCAGUGUUUUUGAAACAGUGUUUUUGUUCAAGAUUUGCAAUUGUGUUUGGAUUGUCACAAUUUGUCACAUGUGGAAAACGCAAUUGAAAAUAUAAUUAGCAAUUCCUUUUGAAAAUUGUCCUUCCAUAGACAGGCUCUAUAAUGGAGUACACUGCUCUGAGGUGUAGAUCUUUGCUUCAGAGCUUAAGUGUUUGACAAUAGUUCACCCAAAAAUGAAAAUUGUCACUAAUUAUUCACCCUGGUCUGAAAGCUCUCGAAUAUCAACGAAAAUAUCUUAACUUGUGUUCUGAAGAUGAACGAAGGGCUUACGGGUUUGUAACGACAUGAAGUUGAGUAAUAAAUGACAGAAUUUUCAUUUUUGGGUGAACUAUAUGUUGAACUACCCUAAGCAGUGCACAUCUACCUACGUAGGAGUCUUUAUAUACUUGAUAUAAAUUUAAGGACAUCUUUAAAUGAUUUUACAUUUAAAUUUAAAAAUGUUAAUUGUUAAUGUCAUUUCACUGUGUAUUUAAAUAGCUAAAAAUCUCAAAAUGUAAUAGUUAAACAGCUAGACACAGGUCAUUCAGAAAUAAUUUUCUUAUUUAUUGCAACUGUAUUUCUGUGAUUUUUAUUUAUUUAUUUUGCAUUUGCUGGAAACAAAAAAAGGGAAAAUUCCAUGUUGUUUGUCAUUGGUAAAAAAUUUUUGAAUGUCAGAUGGCAUUAAAAAUAUUUUUUAACAGUCUAAAUAACCUGUAUUCUUCAUUAUUUAUUAAUCCAUGAUUGCUUUGUUAAGCAAAAGUGAAAUUAUGAGAAUAACCCAGCAAGAAUAACCCAGAAUCAUAAAAAUGCAAACCCACAAAUGGUAAAAAUGACUCUAUCUUGGGUUUUCUCAAUAACCCAGCAUGCUGGGUUAAAAUGUGUAAACCAGCAUGCU